CUCACCCCACCUCCUUACACAUCUAUAAAAGGGGCUUUUGUAGUUUUUUUUGUGCAUGUAAGAUACCAGUAGAAGAGUUCUUCAUGUGAAGGGGCUUGGGGUUGAAAGAGUGAUACUCUACAAGCGAAUCGCAUACAGAAUGUAAUAGAAUUUUUUCUGUAAUUUAUCUUCUAGACUCAUGUAAUUGAUAUUAAUUUAUUAAUAAAAUAGAUAUUUUUGAUUCAUUAUAUAUUGCAUCUUAUUAUUUUAAGAUUGUAAUGAACCUCAUAGGUCCAAACAAUGGUUUUAAGGCCAUGAUGAGAUCACAUCAGUGAGACCU
rnacentral:lncRNA from 1 species